rnacentral:rRNA from 1 species
AACGAACGCUGGCGGCAUGCCUAACACAUGCAAGUCGAACGAGACCUUCGUGUCUAGUUGCGCACGGGUGCGUAACGCGUGGGAACCUGCCCUUAGGUUCGGAAUAACUCCCCGAAAGGGGUGCUAAUACCGGAUAAUGUCUUCGGACCAAAGAUUUAUCGCCUUUGGAUGGGCCCGCGUUGGAUUAGCUAGUUGGUAGGGUAAAAGCCUACCAAGGCGACGAUCCAUAGCUGGUCUGAGAGGAUGAUCCGCCACACUGGGACUGAGACACGGCCCAGACUCCUACGGGAGGCAGGAGAGGGGAAUAUUGGACAAUGGGGGAAAGCCUGAUCCAGCAAGGCCGGGUAAGUGAUGAAGGCCGUAGGGUUGUAAAGCUCUUUUACACGGGAUGAUAAUGACGGUACCGGGAGAAUAAGCUCCGGCUAACUCCGUG